UUAAACAAAUUUUCAGUCUAUUUAUAUUGGAAGUGAUGUUAGUUUUGCAAGAACAAGUAAACAACACAUAAGGUGAAAUCCAAACAAUGACUUCUCAAAGUUAUCAAUCGUAUUUUCUUUUGGUUGUUUUAUGCUUGAAUAUAAUUUUGAUUUCUGAAAGUGUUACAUUAGACAAAAGUGUAAUGUGUCUUUUUGGGAGUGACGAAGUACGAGGAGUUUGUUGCAUAGGUGGAUGUUUUCCAAAUUGUUCUACAGAGUGCAUCAAAAUAGGAUAUAAAAAAGGUGGACAAUGUGUUUUUCGACUUGGAUAUCGGCAGUGUUGUUGUUUUAAAUCAUCAUAAUUUAUGUUGUAUCUCUGUGAUUUGUUGAAAAAUAAAAGAUGCACUUUUAAUAAUAUUUAGAACUUACAUUGUGUAUGAACUUUGUGUUAUUGGAGAAGCAAUAAACUUCAUUAUCAAUAAAAACAGUUUAAAAUA